AGUGAACGCUGGCGGUAGGCCUAACACAUGCAAGUCGAACGGCAGCACAGUAAGAGCUUGCUCUUACGGGUGGCGAGUGGCGGACGGGUGAGGAAUACAUCGGAAUCUACUUUUUCGUGGGGGAUAACGUAGGGAAACUUACGCUAAUACCGCAUACGACCUACGGGUGAAAGCAGGGGAUCUUCGGACCUUGCGCGAUUGAAUGAGCCGAUGUCGGAUUAGCUAGUUGGCGGGGUAAAGGCCCACCAAGGCGACGAUCCGUAGCUGGUCUGAGAGGAUGAUCAGCCACACUGGAACUGAGACACGGUCCAGACUCCUACGGGAGGCAGCAGUGGGGAAUAUUGGACGAUGGGCGCAAGCCUGAUCCAGCCAUACCGCGUGGGUGAAGAAGGCCUUCGGGUUGUAAAGCCCUUUUGUUGGGAAAGAAAAGCAGCAGGUUAAUACCCCGCUGUUCUGACGGUACCCAAAGAAUAGGCACCGGCUAACUUCGUG
rnacentral:rRNA from 1 species